rnacentral:rRNA from 1 species
CCUACGGGUGGCAGCAGUGAGGAAUAUUGGUCAAUGGGCGUAAGCCUGAACCAGCCAAGUCGCGUGAGGGAUGAAGGUUCUCUGGAUCGUAAACCUCUUUUAUAAGGGAAUAAAGUGCGGGACGUGUCCCGUUUUGUAUGUACCUUAUGAAUAAGGAUCGGCUAACUCCGGGCCAGCAGCCGCGGUAAUACGGAGAAUCCGAGCGUUAUCCGGUCUUAUUGGGUUUAAAGGGUGCGUAGGCGGCCGUUUAAGUCAGCGGUGAAAGUCUGUGGCUCAACCAUAGAAUUGCCGUUGAUACUGGGGGGCUUGAGUAUGUGUGAGGCAGGCGGAAUGCGUGGUGUAGCGGUGAAAUGCUUAGAUAUCACGCAGAACCCCGAUUGCGAAGGCAGCCUGCCAAGCUAUGACUGACGCUGAUGCACGAAAGCGUGGGGAGCAAACAGGAUUAGAUACCCCAGUAGUC